UUCCCUAAACCCAGCGACUCUUUCUCCCGUGCGACGACUGCGGCGUUUCCUCGGCGAUCGGCUUUCUUCCUCCCCAUCGGCGAACAGCGGACGCAACGGCGGUGUCUUCCUCCGCUGAGUUCCUUUCGCUGCGGCGUUUUCCUCUCCAUCGACGAAACAGCGUCUCCGCCCCCCCGAAGCAAGGCAUUUAGUUCGAUUGAACCAAAUGAGAAUCCGGACAGCUUAAAAACCCGCCCCUUACCCAACCGCACAAUGGACACCGCGGGCACCCCUGCCCUAAACCCAGCGACUCUUUCUCCCGAGCGACGACUACGGCAUUUCCUCGGCGAUCGGCUGUCUUCCUCCCCAUCGGCGAACAGCGGAAGCAACGGCGGUGUCUUCCUCCGCUGAGUUCCUGUCGCUGCGGCGUUUUCCUCGGUGAACGGCGGCUGCCGCGUCUUCCUCUCCAUCGGCGAAACAGCGUCUCCGCCCCCCCGGCAUCAAGUGCCUGGCAAAUCAGGUGUGGGUGAUGAUUUAGGUGUACACUAUGUCUUGCGGAGAAACUUUCGGAACAGAAAUUGUGGCUUGCUUUGAAGUGGGAAUAUCAUCCUUGAAAAAUGCUUGAAAAAGAAAAGAUGGGACAAGCUACGUGGGAGAGAUGAUUAAUCGGUU